GACGAACCGAGCGAACGUUGUUCGGAAUCACUGGGCUUAAAGGGCGCGUAGGCGGGCUGUCAAGUCUGGGGUGAAAUCCCACGGCUCAACCGUGGAACUGCCUUAGAUACUGACGGCCUCGAGGGAGAUAGGGGCGAGCGGAACUGUGAGUGGAGCGGUGAAAUGCGUUGAUAUUCACAGGAACUCCGGUGGCGAAGGCGGCUCGCUGGAUCUUUUCUGACGCUGGAGGCGCGAAAGCUAGGGGAGCAAACGGGG
rnacentral:rRNA from 1 species